rnacentral:piRNA from 1 species
UAUCAGGCCCUCAUAGAACAUAC